UACGGGGGGAGCAAGCGUUGUUCGGAUUUACUGGGCGUAUAGGGCGCGUAGGCGGCCACCGCAAGUCGACUGUGAAAUCUCCGGGCUUAACCCGGAAAGGUCAACCGAUACUGCGGGGCUAGAGUGCAGAAGGGGCAACUGGAAUUCUCGGUGUAGCGGUGAAAUGCGUAGAUAUCGAGAGGAACACCUGCGGCGAAGGCGGGUUGCUGGGCUGACACUGACGCUGAGGCGCGAAAGCUAGGGGAGCGAACGGG
rnacentral:rRNA from 1 species